AUUGAACGCUGGCGGCAGGCCUAACACAUGCAAGUCGAGCGGAUGAAGGGAGCUUGCUCCUGGAUUCAGCGGCGGACGGGUGAGUAAUGCCUAGGAAUCUGCCUGGUAGUGGGGGAUAACGUCCGGAAACGGGCGCUAAUACCGCAUACGUCCUGAGGGAGAAAGUGGGGGAUCUUCGGACCUCACGCUAUCAGAUGAGCCUAGGUCGGAUUAGCUAGUUGGUGGGGUAAAGGCCUACCAAGGCGACGAUCCGUAACUGGUCUGAGAGGAUGAUCAGUCACACUGGAACUGAGACACGGUCCAGACUCCUACGGGAGGCAGCAGUGGGGAAUAUUGGACAAUGGGCGAAAGCCUGAUCCAGCCAUGCCGCGUGUGUGAGGAAGGUCCUCGGAUUGUAAAGCACUUUAAGUUGGGAGGAAGGGCAGUAAGUUAAUACCUGGCUGUUUUGACGUUACCAACAGAAUAAGCACCGGCUAACUUCGU
rnacentral:rRNA from 1 species